rnacentral:rRNA from 1 species
CCUACGGGCGGCAGCAGUGAGGAAUAUUGGUCAAUGGACGAGAGUCUGAACCAGCCAAGUAGCGUGAAGGAUGACUGCCCUAUGGGUUGUAAACUUCUUUUAUAUGGGAAUAAAAUGUUCCACGUGUGGGAUUUUGUAUGUACCAUAUGAAUAAGGAUCGGCUAACUCCGUGCCAGCAGCCGCGGUAAUACGGAGGAUCCGAGCGUUAUCCGGAUUUAUUGGGUUUAAAGGGAGCGUAGGUGGAUUAUUAAGUCAGUUGUGAAAGUUUGCGGCUCAACCGUAAAAUUGCAGUUGAAACUGGCAGUCUGGAGUACAGUAGAGGUGGGCGGAAUUCGUGGGGUAGCGGUGAAAUGCUUAGAUAUCACGAAGAACUCCGAUUGCGAAGGCAGCUCACUGGACUGCAACUGACACUGAGGCUCGAAAGUGUGGGUAUCAAACAGGAUUAGAUACCCCUGUAGUC